rnacentral:rRNA from 1 species
UACGUAGGGAGCAAGCGUUGUCCGGAAUCAUUGGGCGUAAAGCGCGCGUAGGCGGCCCUGUAAGUCCGUUGUGAAAGUCCAAGGCUCAACCUUUGAAAGCCGAUGGAUACUGCAGGGCUAGAGUCCGGAAGAGGCGAGUGGAAUUCCUGGUGUAGCGGUGGAAUGCGCAGAUAUCAGGAGGAACACCAAUAGCGAAGGCAGCUCGCUGGGACGGUACUGACGCUAAGGCGCGAAAGCGUGGGGAGCGAACAGG